AACGGCAGGCCCAUAGCCAGCGUGGUUGGGAUCCAUGGAGCACUCAAUGAUUUCUGGAGCCAAGUAACCUGGUGUUCCACAAACCUCUAGGGGUGAAACAGAGGCAGAUGCUUCUAAACUACAAUAUCUGUCACGAUGGACUAUAUUGUGGGUGUGAAGAUACUCAACCACCUCCAGAAGAGCACGCAUGAUCUUUCUAUCAAAGAGUGAGAGAAGAGAAACUGAGUGCUAAUAAUUAAGAUCAUAUCUCUAAGGUUAAUACAACAGCUACAAUGGAUUAGAGCUGUAAUAUAUAUUUCCAUUCAAAUGUUUGUGGUCAGUAUGAUUUUUUUUAUGUUUUUAAAAGAAGAUUCUUAAGCUCACCAAGGCUUCAUUUAUUUGAUCAAAAAUACAAAAUAAUUGUUUUCUAUUUUAAAGGGGUCAUGAACUGCGUUGUUUUAUAAUGUUUCCUGGGGUGCACUUAUAAUGUUAGUAUGAUUUUUACAUCAAAAAUUGUCAUAAUUUAGAAAUAAAAGGCAUUUUUCCUA